CUGACACACGCUCAGAGCACUUCCUGCCUCUGGUUGUGUGUGUUCCUGUGGUCGUUUUGGUGUUGGCAGCCGUUCUGUUCCUGCGCUGCAGGAAGAAGACACAAAGGACGGUUGAUGGAGUAACUCUUGAUUACAGAAACACAAAGAUUGAACCUUAUGAAAACUGCGUUUUUCACACACGUGAAGACGCCAUCUACGAGAGCCUCGAUCCAACCAGGAUUGACCAGGACCCAACUUACUCGACACUCUUACACACUCACACUAUUCACAAGGGGAUUCAAGAGUGAUUACAAUUAUCGGUGAAAAACUGAUGUUUCAUAAAGUUUUAUACCCAUGUGUAUGAUCACACGUCUUAUAAAAACAAAUAAAUAAACAUAAGCUACAUGUAGGUCAUGGGUGUCAACCUCAGUUUGUGUUUGGGACACAUGAGGAAGUGAUAUUCCUAAAUACAAUUUGGUCCACAGAAAUGAUCCAACACCCUCGUGAGCUUCAGCGCACCUGAUGGCACAUUAUGAAGUUUGUGUGAGUUUGUGAUUGGCCUCCUGUAACAAACAGACUGGUGUGUGUACCUUCUGUGAAAUGCGACUCUUACCUCACACUGAAAUCGUUCUUUCUCUUUCUGUUUUCUCUUGCUGUGAUUUUUUAC